CCGGCGACCGGCGCACGGGUGAGUAACACGUAUGAAACCUGCCCGUAGCAGGGGGAUAAGCGGAAGAAAUUCCGUCUAAUACCGCGUAACAACCCAUGGAGGCAUCUCUGUGGGUUUAAAGGAAGCGAUUCCGGCUACGGAUGGUCAUGCGUCGCAUUAGCUUGUUGGCGGGGUAAAGGCCCACCAAGGCGACGAUGCGUAGGGGUUCUGAGAGGAAGGUCCCCCACACUGGUACUGAGACACGGACCAGACUCCUACGGAAGGCAGCAG
rnacentral:rRNA from 1 species